AUUUGGGAUGCCAUUGGUCUACACCCUUGCUCUGCCCCCUUUGCACAUCUUUGGGUCUCCCAUGGGCACCCGGGUCUCCCUGAGUCAGUGUGGCCUCUCAUUCUUCUUCUUAUCAUUUGGAAAAUUUGGGACGCUCGUAAUGCUAAAACUUUUAGGGAUCUAGAUGUCUCACCCCAUGAUGUUACUAGGGGCAUCAUCGCGGAUCUCACAUUGUGGUCUCAUCGCCUUAAGAAGGUGGAGGACAAAGUUCACGCCGGCCUGUGGCGGGACUAUUUUACCUCUCGCCUUGUCUAA
rnacentral:rRNA from 1 species